rnacentral:tRNA from 1 species
UCCGAGAUCGUCUAACCGGCAGGACGCCAGGCUCUGAACCUGGAAGAUGAGGUUCGAACCCUUGUCUCGGAGCCA